CCCCGGCGCUUUGCAUAAACAAAGAGAGGAGGAGGGACGACCCGGGCGCCGCCCCCGCCCCGCCAGCGCCCCCAUCCACUCUGGGAUCCCAAACCAGGCCCGUCCCAAGUCCUCCAGGGACCCGCCAGCCCGCGGCCCCUUACCUUGGCCUGGCAUUUCCGAUGACAGGAGAAGCUGCAGACUGCAAGAGGGCGAGACACAGAAAGAAAGUUUUAGCCGCGAGGGACACUCAAGCAGCUCCCUGGAGAAGGCCCUGAGGCGAGGAGCUGAGGCCUCCUGCCGACAGCCAGCUCCAACUUGCUGGCGUGUGAGUGAGCCAGGUGGGAGGUGGACCAGCCCCGGUUGGUCCUUCAGAUGAAUACAGCCCUGGCUGACAUCUUCACUGCAACCUCAUGAGACACCUCGAGCCAGAACCACCAGCUAAGUUACUCUUGAAUUCCUGACCCACAGAAACCAUGGGGAAUCAUAAUUUUGUAUUUGUUUUAAACUGCUAAGUUUGGGGAUAAUUUUUUAUGCAUUACUAGAUCAGUAAUACAGAAAUCAGCGCACAGAACCACUCAGGUAGCGAGAGGCCAAAGGCAGCUGAUGCUGGGAACAGGGACCAGAGGCCAUCUCCUGGGUCCUACCUUGUUCCUUGGUGCCUGCACACUCAUAUUUUAACUCCUUUUCCCCUUUCCUUACCCUACCAAGCAAUUAGUCGUCAUGUCCCAGAAAGCAACUCCAAAGAGGCUAUCGAAUCCCAGCUCCCCAUCCCUGCCCAGCUCAGCCUGGUUACCCCUCCCUGGGCCCACCUCCCACCUUGCCACCUCCCAUCCACAGAGCCGUGGGCACUCUCAAGUGCAAACUGACCAGUCAGAGCCCUGCGUGGCAGGCCUGGUCUAGCCUCCACCUCCAGCCGAUGCUGCGAAAGAGACCUCUGUUCCUGCCAUGUCACACUCCCCACGCAGACCCUUGAGUCUGCAAGGAGCCAUGUUCCCUAUUGGGUGAUCAGGCAUUCAAGGAGAUGGUCCCUCCCUUCCUAUGCUCCCAGAUUCCCCAGCUCACAGCCUUUGGAAAGCUCUGGUCACCUUGGAGGAUUCAGUAGUCCUUUGUGAAUUGCCCUCCUCGCCACCCCCACAUCCAGCUGCUUCUCUGGGGCAAAAAGGGAGGUCCUGUUCAACAGUGCAGUCUGUCUCCUGCCCCUUCCCUAGCGCAGGGCCGGCCAUACAGGUGGGGCUCAACAAAUGUGCAGGAAAUUUCACAACAGAAGAAUUCUCCCCACUCUAAACCCCUAGGACAAGGGGCAACGCUCUGGGGCAACGGAAUAGUGACGGUGGGUGAGCUCCACUUCGGCUCCAGCCCUGCUGGGAGAGAGCAGGCAGGGACCCUGGGAGUCAGUCAGUGCUUCCCAAGCUGCUUCGGUGCUAGCACGCCAGUGACCAAGCCAGGCCCUGCCAUUUAUGCCCCUGGAGCCCGUGGUCUCCAAGCCUCUUCCAGCUGUGAGAGCCUGUGCUCAACCUGGCCAGUGUCUGCUGUGGUUGGAACGUGUGCGUCUCCCCCAAAUGCGGACGUUGCACCCAGCGUGAUAGGGUUACAAGGUGGGGCCUGGAGGAGUGAUUAGGCCAUGAGGGCUCUGCCCUUGUGGAUGGGUGAGUGCCCCUGUGAAAGGGCUUGAGGGAGUGAGAGUGUCCCUUUUGCCCUCCCUCUGUCCCUUUUGCCAUAUGAGGCCACACCAUUUGUCCCCUCCAAAGGAUACAGCGACAAGUGCCGUCUUGGAAGCAGAGGCCAGGCCCUCAGCAGACGUCGAAUCUGUUGGUGCCUUGAUCUGGGGCCUCCAACCUCCAGAAACUGUAAGCGAUGAAUUCUGUUGUGUGCCAUUACCCGGUGUAAGGUAUCUGUCGUAGCAGCCCAGACGGACUAAGACUGUCCAUCGCCAUCACCACCCGCUCUUCCUCCAACUGAGAAAGGAGGAAAACCCGGUUCCAACCCUCAGGGUGUCCUAAAGGCUAUUGGGGAAACAGCCAGUCUGUGGGUGACAGGGACGCUCACUCCACAAGGUCCACUUCUCCCUGGGGGGUGGAGGCGGGCAGGAGAACCCCAGCCUCCCCCACUCCUGUCACCCCUCAGGUGCCCGAGUCCUCGACACACAUCUCACCGGAGCAGACCGUGGCCUCCCAGCCCCCACGGAAGGCCCCCAAGUCACAAACCCACCUACAGCACCUCCUGAGCCGGCACCCUGCCCCCUGGGGGAGUGACCCGUCAACCCAAAGCUCCACGGAGACCCAGGAGCCCAUCUCCGCCAUGGAUGUCAACACUGCCCCACACGACAGGGCCCGGGGGGCUGAGAGGAGCAGAGAGCCCCAUGGUGAGGAGGGGCCCCUGGGUUACCUGCCGGGGUGGAAAACAGCCCCAGCCCCAGGCCUUGGCCCGGUUGUGCCUCAGCUGGGCUGGCGGUACUCUGUCCUGCGGUGGCUUCCUGCCUCUCGGGAACACAGGAAGCCAACAUUGUUGGGAUCUAAAUGGCCUUUUCCUCCUGGACUUGGGUCGGAAAGUGAGCACAUAGCCUCAGUGUGCACCUGACCCAGCCAUGACCACUCACAUGCCCUGUCCGGCCUCCGCUCCGUCCCCGGCUGGCAGGGACACAGGCCUGGCCACGCACCUGCUCGCCCGCCACUCCACCCUGCCCUCCUGCCACUCCACCCUGCCCACCUGCUCACCUCCAGGGCCCGGGCUGGAGGCGUGUGCUGGUCAAUCUCAUGAGUCAACUUGUCCAGGCCAUGCUACCCAGAUAUUUGGUCAAAUAUUAUUCUAAAUGUUUCUGAGAAGGUAUUUUUUUAUGUGAGAUUUGCAUUUAAGCCAGUAAACUCUGUGUAAAGCACAUUACCCUCCGUAACAUGGGUGGGUCUCAUCCAGUCAGUUGAAAGACUUACUAGGGAAGACUGACCUCCGUAAGCAAGAACGAAUUCUGCCAGCACUCUGCUCUGGACUGGAAUGCAAUGCUUCCCUGGGUCUCCAGCCCGACAGCCAACCCUGCAGAUUUUGGAUGUCGCAAGUCUCCACAAUCACAUGAGCAAAUUCCUUGAAAUAAAUCUCUACCUAUCUA